rnacentral:rRNA from 1 species
UGGGGAAUAUUGGACAAUGGGCGCAAGCCUGAUCCAGCAAUGCCGCGUGGAUGAAGAAGGUUUUCGGAUUGUAAAGUCCUUUCGGCGGGGACGAUGAUGACGGUACCCGCAGAAGAAGCCCCGGCUAACUUCGUGCCAGCAGCCGCGGUAAUACGAAGGGGGCUAGCGUUGCUCGGAAUGACUGGGCGUAAAGGGCGCGUAGGCGGAUUGCGUAGUCAGAUGUGAAAUUCCUGGGCUCAACCUGGGGACUGCAUUUGAUACGCGCAGUCUAGAGUUUGGAAGAGGGUCGUGGAAUUCCCAGUGUAGAGGUGAAAUUCGUAGAUAUUGGGAAGAACACCGGUGGCGAAGGCGGCGACCUGGUCCUUGACUGACGCUGAGGCGCGAAAGCGUGGGGAGCAAACA